GAUGAACGCUGGCGGCGUGCCUAAUACAUGCAAGUCGAGCGAACAGACGAGAAGCUUGCUUCUCUGAUGUUAGCGGCGGACGGGUGAGUAACACGUGGAUAACCUACCUAUAAGACUGGGAUAACUUCGGGAAACCGGAGCUAAUACCGGAUAAUAUUUUGAACCGCAUGGUUAAAAAGUGAAAGACGGUUUUGCUGUCACUUAUAGAUGGAUCCGCGCCGCAUUAGCUAGUUGGUAAGGUAACGGCUUACCAAGGCAACGAUGCAUAGCCGACCUGAGAGGGUGAUCGGCCACACUGGAACUGAGACACGGUCCAGACUCCUACGGGAGGCAGCAGUAGGGAAUCUUCCGCAAUGGGCGAAAGCCUGACGGAGCAACGCCGCGUGAGUGAUGAAGGUCUUCGGAUCGUAAAACUCUGUUAUUAGGGAAGAACAAAUGUGUAAGUAACUAUGCACGUCUUGACGGUACCUAAUCAGAAAGCCACGGCUAACUACGUG
rnacentral:rRNA from 1 species